rnacentral:rRNA from 1 species
AUUGAACGCCGGCGGCAUGCCUUACACAUGCAAGUCGAACGGCAGCACGGGGCAACCUGGUGGCGAGUGGCGAACGGGUGAGUAAUGCAUCGGAACGUGCCAUUGAGUGGGGGGAUAACGUAGCGAAAGUUGCGCUAAUACCGCAUAUUCUGUGAGCAGGAAAGCAGGGGACCGCAAGGCCUUGCGCUCUUUGAGCGGCCGAUGUCAGAUUAGCUAGUUGGUGAGGUAACGGCUUACCAAGGCGACGAUCGUGUAGCGGGUCUGAGAGGAUGAUCCGCCACACUGGAACUGAGACACGGUCCAGACUCCUACGGGAGGCAGCAGUGGGGAAUUUUGGACAAUGGGCGCAAGCCUGAUCCAGCCAUGCCGCGUGAGUGAAGAAGGCCUU